rnacentral:rRNA from 1 species
AGAAAAAGAAAAUAUGUUAAUUGUACCUUUUGUAUCAGGGGGGUUUAAAAUUUUAAUAAAAAUUUACUCGAUUAUUCUGGAUCUUCUAAGUAGAUUAUUAGUUGCAUUUAAUAGUUUGAUAGUUUAAGGUGUGAAAAGUAAACGACAGAUGUGGUAUCUAGUUGUUUUAUAAUUAAAGGGUAAGCUUUUAAUAGUCUAUUAGACAGUUUUAAUUAAUGUGAGUUAGGCUUUGAAUUAGCUAUAUUAUCUUGUUGUUUUAAAUGAUCUUUGAUAAUUUUUGACGCGUGGAUAGAAUUAAAAUACUAUAAGUGUAAGUGGUGUCUAGUAAAAAUAAUGAAUUUAUUGAAUAAUAAGUGGAGUAUUUAAAUAACUCAUGUUAAGUUAGAAAGUUUAGCAAAAACAUUUCUUUUUAAAAAAUAAAGUAAGGCCUGCCCAGUGAAGAUUUAACGGCUGCGGUAUUUUGACUGUGCUAAGGUAGCAUAAUAAUUUGUUUUUUAAUUGAAAACUGGAAUGAAAGGUUAAACUAAUUUAUUUAGUUUGGGGUACUGUGUAAUAGAUUUAAGUAAAGGUAAGAAUUCUUUUAUUUUCUAGGGGACGAUAAGACCCUAGAAGCUUAAUAAAUAGAAUAAGGUUAAUGGUAGAAUUUUUAUUUAUUUUACUGGGGCGGUUGUAGCAUAUUAACUAUUAUAGUUAUGAGAGAUCUUAUAUAUAUAGAUGUAACGGUUAAGUUACUCUAGGGGUAACAGUGUAAUAUAUCUGAAGAGAUCUUAUCAAUAGAUAUGGUUGCAACCUCGAUGUUGAAUUAAAAUUUCUAUGUGGAGCAGAAGAUACAUAAGAGGGUUUGUUCAACC